rnacentral:rRNA from 1 species
GACGAACCGUGCAAACGUUGUUCGGAAUCACUGGGCUUAAAGGGCGCGUAGGCGGGUUCCCAAGUCGGAGGUGAAAUCUUGCGGCCCAACCGUAAGAGGGCCUCCGAUACUGGGAGUCUCGAGGGAGGUAGGGGUCGGUGGAACUUCCGGUGGAGCGGUGAAAUGCGUAGAUAUACGGAAGGAACGCCGGUGGCGAAAGCGACCGACUGGACCUCUUCUGACGCUGAGGCGCGAAAGCCAGGGGAGCAACGGGG